rnacentral:rRNA from 1 species
GACGAACCGUCCUAACGUUAUUCGGAAUCACUGGGCUUAAAGGGCGCGUAGGCGGGAUCGUAAGUCAGGGGUGAAAUCCCACGGCUCAACCGUGGAAGUGCCUUUGAUACUGCGGACCUCGAGGUGGGCAGGGGCGUGCGGAACUUCCGGUGGAGCGGUGAAAUGCGUAGAGUAUCGGAAGGAACACCGGUGGCGAAAGCGGCACGCUGGGCCCGUACUGACGCUGAGGCGCGAAAGCCAGGGUAGCAAACGGG